GUGAGAAUGAAUGAAAAGAAAAGGAAAUGCUGCCAGAGCUACAGUGGGGUAUUGCUCUAAACAACCUUUAUGCUGCACAGGACUCGGAAUUAAGCUAGAGGAAUAAAAGGGUGGCCCAUCUUCAUGUCUUUUCAAGCGUAGCCUCUCUUCCAAAGGAUCCUAUGCAUAAGAUGAGCAAUGCACAUUGAACUGAUCCGGAGGAGGAGGAGGAGGAGGAGGGGGAGGAUUUGAGCUACCUGAGCGAUCAGUUCGGCGCAACUGUGCACUGUACAAGCAGCGCCCUGACUGGAGUGUGGGUGUGCCUGGCGACCAAUUGGGAUUCACAAUCUCAAAGGAUAAAAGCCUCCAAGCAGCCACAUCGCCUCCAGGCACUUCACCACCAUUCGGGCUCUUCCCCCUCGGCUGGUGAGCCGCCCAGCAAGGAGAGGCUGGUGAGGAGUGAAAUCAUUAAUUUCAUUCAAAUGGAUCGUUCCUUUAUGUUAGAAGUCAUGGUGCCACAAAAUUUGAGAACUUUAAUGGAACAAUACAGCCUUACAUAAAUCUGAAGAAGUAUCUCUGAAUCAAAGAAGACCUCUGAUAACAGCAAGACUGUUGGUGGCGCAAUACUGGAAGAAGGAAG